rnacentral:rRNA from 1 species
CCUACGGGGGGCAGCAGUCGGGAAUAUUGCGCAAUGGAGGAAACUCUGACGCAGUGACGCCGCGUAUAGGAAGAAGGUUUUCGGAUUGUAAACUAUUGUCGUUAGGGAAGAUAAAAGACUGUACCUAAGGAGGAAGCCCCGGCUAACUACGUGCCAGCAGCCGCGGUAAUACGUAGGGGGCAAGCGUUAUCCGGAUUUACUGGGUGUAAAGGGAGCGUAGACGGCAGUGCAAGUCCGGAGUGAAAGCUCGGGGCUCAACCCUGGGACUGCUCUGGAAACUGUAAAGCUGGAGUGCGGGAGGGGCG